rnacentral:rRNA from 1 species
AUUGAACGCUGGCGGCAGGCCUAACACAUGCAAGUCGAACGAGCGGCGGACGGGUGAGUAAUGUCUGGGAAACUGCCCGAUAGAGGGGGAUAACUACUGGAAACGGUAGCUAAUACCGCAUACCGUCGGAUGACCCCAAAUGGGAUUAGCUAGUAGGUGGGGUAACGGCUGACCUAGGCGACGAUCCCUAGCUGGUCUGAGAGGAUGACCAGCCACACUGGAACUGAGACACGGCCCAGACUCCUACGGGAGGCAGCAGUGGGGAAUAUUGCACAAUGGGCGCAAGCCUGAUGCAGCCAUGCCGCGUGUAUGAAGAAGGCCUUCGGGUUGUAAAGUACUUUCAGCGAGGAGGCGUUACCCACAGAAGAAGCACCGGCUAACUCCGUGCCAGCAGCCGCGGUAAUAC